rnacentral:rRNA from 1 species
AUACAGAGGGUGCAAGCGUUGCUCGGAUUUACUGGGCGUAAAGCGUACGCAGACGGUUUGGUAGGUCGGGUGUGAAAGCCCAGGGCUCAACCCUGGAAAUGCACUCGAAACCACCUCACUUGAGUAUAGGAGAGGGAAGCGGAAUUCCUGGUGUAGAGGUGAAAUUCGUAGAUAUCAGGAGGAACACCGGUGGCGAAGGCGGCUUCCUGGCCUAUUACUGACGUUCAGGUACGAAAGCGUGGGUAGCAAACAGGAUUAGAUACCCUGGUAGUCCACGCCGUAAACGAUGAGUGCUGGAUGUCGGGGGUAUUCACCCCCUCGGUAUCGAAGCUAACGCGAUAAGCACUCCGCCUGGGGAGUACGGCCGCAAGGUUGAA